AUGCUCACUUAUGCAACAUAUACACUAAAAUUGGAAUGAGAAGAUUAGCAGGGCCCCUGGACAAAUUAGUGAAGCAUUCCAUAUCAGU
rnacentral:snRNA from 1 species